GUACGACUGAAGAGUCCCAAACUAGGACGAAACAGCUGUCCAGUAC
rnacentral:hammerhead_ribozyme from 1 species